rnacentral:rRNA from 1 species
GAUGAACGCUGGCGGCGUGCCUAAUACAUGCAAGUCGAGCGAAGCGGGGACGGGUGAGUAACACGUGGAUAACCUCCUAUAAGACUGGGAUAACUUCGGGAAACCGGAGCUAAACCGGAUGCUUAUCGAUGGAUCCGCGCUGCAUUAGCUAGUUGGUAAGGUAACGGCUUACCAAGGCAACGAUGCAUAGCCGACCUGAGCGGGGUAUCGGCCAAACGGGAACGUAGACACGGUACAGGAGCCUACGGGAGGCAGCAGUAGGGAAGCAUCCGCAAUGGGCGAAAGCCUGACGGAGAAAUGCCGCGUGAGGGAUGAAGGUCUUCGGAUCGUAAAACUCUGUUAUUUGGGAAGGGGUACCUAUUCAGAAAGCCACGGCUAACUACGUGCCAGCAGCCGCGGUAAUAC